UACAGAGGGGGCAAGCGUUGUUCGGAAUUACUGGGCGUAAAGGGCGCGUAGGUGGUCUUCUAAGUUGGACGUGAAAUCCCUGGGCUCAACCCCGGAACUGCGUCCGAGACUGGGAGGCUUGAAUCCGGGAGAGGGAUGCGGAAUUCCAGGUGUAGCGGUGAAAUGCGUAGAUAUCUGGAGGAACACCGGUGGCGAAGGCGGCAUCCUGGACCGGUAUUGACACUGAGGCGCGAAAGCCAGGGGAGCAAACGGG
rnacentral:rRNA from 1 species